rnacentral:rRNA from 1 species
UGGUCAAGUUAUUAAGGGUGCAGGGCGGAUGCCUUGGCACUAGGAGCCGAUGAAGGACGUGAUAAGCUGCGAUAAGCUUCGGGGAGUUGCACGUAAACUUUGAUCCGAAGAUUUCCGAAUGAGGAAACUCACUUAGAGUAAUGUCUAAGUAUCAUUAAGUGAAUACAUAGCUUAAUGAGGGGAACUCAGGGAACUGAAACAUCUAAGUACCUGAAGGAAGAGAAAGAAAUUCGAUUCCGUAAGUAGCGGCGAGCGAACGCGGAUUAGCCCAAACCAAUAAAGUUUUCUUUAUUGGGGUUGCGGACAUAUCAUAACGAAGAGGUAUCGUAAUUGAAGAGGUUUGGAAAGACCCACCACAGAAGGUAAUAGUCCUGUAUGUUAAACGAGAAGACUUUAGAUAUGAUCCAGAGUACCACGGGACACGUGAAACCCUGUGGGAAGCAGGAGGGACCACCCUCCAAGGCUAAAUACUACCUAGUGACCGAUAGCGUAUAGUACCGUGAGGGAAAGGUGAAAAGAACCCCGGGAGGGGAGUGAAAUAGAACCUGAAACCCUGCACUUACAAGCUGUGGAAGCACAUUUCUUGUGUGACCGCGUACUUUUUGUAGAACGGGCCAACGAGUUACGUUAAGUAGCAAGGUUAAGCACUUAAGGUGUGGAGCCGUAGCGAAAGCGAGUUUUAACUGAGCGUUCAGUUACUUGACGUAGACCCGAAACCGGGCGACCUACCCAUGAGCAGGAUGAAGCGAAAGUAAAAUUUCGUGGAGGUCCGAACCCACGAGCGUUGAAAAGCUCGGGGAUGACUUGUGGGUAGCGGUGAAAUUCCAAUCGAGCCCGGAGAUAGCUGGUUCUCCCCGAAAUAGCUUUAGGGCUAGCCUCAAGGUGAGAGAUACGGAGGUAGAGCACUGAAUGUCCUAGGGGGUAUUGCACCUACCGAAGACUAUCAAACUCCGAAUGCCGUCAUCUUAUACUUGGGAGUCAGACUGUGGGUGAUAAGAUUCAUAGUCGAAAGGGCAACAGCCCAGAUCGUCAGCUAAGGUCCCUAAAUGUAAGUUAAGUGGUAAAGGAUGUGGGAUUGCACAGACAACCAGGAUGUUGGCUUAGAAGCAGCCACUCAUUCAAAGAGUGCGUAAUAGCUCACUGGUCGAGUGAUCCUGCGCCGAAGAUUUCCGGGGCUAAAACUUACUACCGAAGCUACGGCAUCAGUAAUGAUGGGUAGGGGAGCUUCCCAUACGGGUUGAAGCAUGACCGUAAGGACAUGUGGACAGUAUGGGAGUGAGAAUGUUGGCAUGAGUAGCGAGAUGUGGGUGAGAAUCCCACAGGCCGUAAACCCAAGGUUUCCAGGGGAAGGUUCGUCCGCCCUGGGUUAGUCGGGACCUAAGCUGAGGCCGAAAGGCGUAGGUGAUGGACAACAGGUUGAUAUUCCUGUACUACCGAUAACCAUUUGAGAGAAGGGAUGACACAGUAGGAUAAGCUAAGCACACUGUUGGUUAUGUGUGCCCAAGCAUUGAGGCAGUCAAAGUAGGCAAAUCCGCUUUGAUAAUGCUGGGAUGUGAUGGGGAGCGAAAUUUAGUAGCGAAGUAGCUGAUUUCACACUGUCAAGAAAAGUCUCUAUCGAGGUUAAAGGUACCCGUACCGCAAACCGACACAGGUGGGUGAGGAGAGUAUCCUAAGGCCAGCGAGAGAACUGUUGUUAAGGAACUCGGCAAAAUGACCCCGUAACUUAGGGAUAAGGGGUGCCACCAUCAGGUGGCCGCAGAGAAUAGGCCCAAGCGACUGUUUACCAAAAACAUAGGUUUCUGCUAAGUCGCAAGACGAUGUAUAGGAGCUGACGCCUGCCCGGUGCUGGAAGGUUAAGGGGAUCUGUUAGAGCAAUCGAAGCAGUGAACUUAAGCCCCAGUAAACGGCGGCCGUAACUAUAACGGUCCUAAGGUAGCGAAAUUCCUUGUCGGGUAAGUUCCGACCCGCACGAAAGGCGUAACGAUUUGGGCACUGUCUCAACAACAGACUCGGUGAAAUUGUAAUUCCGGUGAAGAUGCCGGAUACCUGCGACAGGACGGAAAGACCCCAUGGAGCUUUACUGUAGCUUGACAUUGGGUCUUGGUACUACAUGUACAGGAUAGGUGGGAGGCUUUGAAACCAGGACGCCAGUUUUGGCGGAGCCAUCCUUGGGAUACCACCCUUGUAGUACUGGGACUCUAACCAUAGGCCAUGAAUCUGGUCUUGGGACACUGUCAGGUGGGCAGUUUGACUGGGGCGGUCGCCUCCCAAAAGGUAACGGAGGCGCUCAAAGGUUCUCUCAGUACGGUCGGAAAUCGUACGUAGAGUGUAAAGGCAAAAGAGAGCUUGAUUGCAAGACAUACAGGUCGAGCAAGGAUGAAAAUCGGACUUAGUGAUCCGGUGGUUCUGCGUGGAAGGGCCAUCGCUCAACGGAUAAAAGCUACCCUGGGGAUAACAGGCUUAUCUCCCCCAAGAGUCCACAUCGACGGGGAGGUUUGGCACCUCGAUGUCGGCUCAUCACAUCCUGGGGCUGUAGUAGGUCCCAAGGGUUGGGCUGUUCGCCCAUUAAAGUGGUACGCGAGCUGGGUUCAGAACGUCGUGAGACAGUUCGGUCCCUAUCCGUCGCAGGCGUAGGAAAUUUGAGAAGACCUGUCCUUAGUACGAGAGGACCGGGAUGGACGUACCUCUGGUGUACCAGUUGUUCUGCCAAGGGCAUGGCUGGGUAGCUAUGUACGGAAUGGAUAAGCGCUGAAAGCAUCUAAGCGCGAAGCCAACUUCAAGAUAAGAUUUCCCACCGCAAGGGUAAGACCCCAGAAAGACUAUCUGGUUGAUAGGUCGAAGGUGUAAGUGCAGCAAUGUAUUUAGCUUAUCGAUACUAAUAGGUCGAGGACUUGACCAAU